rnacentral:rRNA from 1 species
GACGAACGCUGGCGGCGUGCUUAACACAUGCAAGUCGAACGGAAAGGCCCUGCUUUUGUGGGGUGCUCGAGUGGCGAACGGGUGAGUAACACGUGAGUAACCUGCCCUUGACUUUGGGAUAACUUCAGGAAACUGGGGCUAAUACCUGAUAGGAGCUCCUGCUGCAUGGUGUGGGUUGGAAAGUUUCGGCGGUUGGGGAUGGACUCGCGGCUUAUCAGCUUGUUGGUGGGGUAGUGGCUUACCAAGGCUUUGACGGGUAGCCGGCCUGAGAGGGUGACCGGCCACAUUGGGACUGAGAUACGGCCCAGACUCCUACGGGAGGCAGCAGUGGGGAAUAUUGCACAAUGGGCGGAAGCCUGAUGCAGCAACGCCGCGUGCGGGAUGACGGCCUUCGGGUUGUAAACCGCUUUCGCCUGUGACGAAGCGUGAGUGACGGUAAUGGGUAAAGAAGCACCGGCUAACUACGUG